AAUCGGAAUCAGCAUUUGACUUGAAGUCCGAAAGAUGUUCCAUGACACGUGCUCAUCUGAGCAUCACCCUGGCUGUUUCUCUAAAUGCUAAUCAACUCAUUCUUCCAUUUGAAAUUUGGAGACAAUUCCACAUGGUGAGUCAUCAGUGUGAUCCGGAGCAAGCGUGAGGGGAGAUAUAAGCCUGCCUGAAUGUUACCGAAACCCCAGAGGACGACAUGCGCACACACAAUGAAGGAGGACUCAACCUUGAAAACCCCCACAAUCCCCCCUGGGGGGUUUCCCUAAAUGGCCUGUUCUUUCAGUCAUUGCUUUCUUUGUGUAGGAGGAAAAAACAAAACAAAAGCAACAUUUGCUCGUGAGCAAUUUA